rnacentral:rRNA from 1 species
UUUUUUUCCUUCCUUUUUUUUUUGUUUUUUGUACCCCCUCGCAUGGGAGGGAAGCCCCCCCCCCCCCCCCCCCCCCCCCUCCCCCCCCCCCGGGGCGGGGGGCGCGGCGCGGGGGGGGAAGGGGGAAAAGAAACCACCCCCCCCCCCCCCCCCCCCUUCCCCCCAUCCCUUUAUUCCCCCCCCUUCCCCCGGGUUCUUCUUUCCAGGCGGGCGGGGAGGGUACCCCCCGGGAAAGGAAGUAUAAAACCCCCCCGCCCCCCCCCCCCGUUUCUCCCCUCUUUUCCCCCCCUUGUUUUUUUUGGGAAAUGGGGGGGGGGAGGCUAUGUUUUCCCCUUGUGGGCCGGUUGUAUAUCGGCGCCCGGUAACUUGUAUUCCCCUCCUCUAUAGGGGGGAUUUGAUUUUAGCGGCCGCGAUUCCCCCCUUUCUCGCUCAACUCGGGUGUAUCAAUAACCGGAGGAAAAGAAACUAACAGGAUUUCCCGUGGUGCCUGCGAGUGACGCGGGGAAAGCUCAAAUUUACAAUCUGGCGCCUCUUUCGGCCGUCCGAGUUGUAAUUUAGAGAAGCGUUUAUCCGCGCCGGUCCAUGUACAAGUCUUCUGGAAUGGAGCGUCAUAGAGGGUGAGAAUCCCGUAUUUGGCAUGGAUCCCUGGUGCUUCUGUGAUGUGCUCUCGAAGAGUCGAGUUGUUUGGGAAUGCAGCUCAAAAUGGGUGGUGAACUCCAUCUAAAGCUAAAUAUUGGCGAGAGACCGAUAGCGAACAAGUACCGUGAGGGAAAGAUGAAAAGCACUUUGGAAAGAGAGUGAAACAGUACGUGAAAUUGUUGAAAGGGAAACGCUUGAAGUCAGUCGCGUCGGCCGAGACUCAGCCUUGCUUCCGCUCGGUGCACUUCUCGGUUGACGGGUCAGCAUCAAUUUCGACCGCCGGAUAAAGGUUGAGGGAACGUGACAUCUUUCGAGGUGUGUUAUAGCCCUCGAUUCGCAUACGGCGAUUGGGAUUGAGGAACUCAGCGCGCCUUUAUGGUCGGGGUAGCAACCCACGUAACGCGCUUAGGAUGCUGGCAUAAUGGCUUUAAGCUGACCCGUCUUGAAACGCGG